GACAGAGGAUGCAAGCGUUAUCCGGAAUUAUUGGGCGUAAAGCGUCUGUAGGUGGCUUUUCAAGUCCGCCGUCAAAUCCCAGGGCUCGACCCUGGACAGGCGGUGGAAACUGCCAAGCUGGAGUACGGUAGGGGCAGAGGGAAUUUCCGGUGGAGCGGUGAAAUGCGUAGAGAUCGGAAAGAACACCAACGGCGAAAGCACUCUGCUGGGCCGACACUGACACUGAGAGACGAAAGCUAGGGGAGCGAAUGGG
rnacentral:rRNA from 1 species